GACGAACGCUGGCGGCGUGCUUAACACAUGCAAGUCGAACGGAAAGGCCCUGCUUUUGUGGGGUGCUCGAGUGGCGAACGGGUGAGUAACACGUGAGUAACCUGCCCUUGACUUUGGGAUAACUUCGGGAAACUGGGGCUAAUACCGGAUAGGAGCUCCUGCUGCAUGGUGGGGGUUGGAAAGUUUCGGCGGUUGGGGAUGGACUCGCGGCUUAUCAGCUUGUUGGUGGGGUAGUGGCUUACCAAGGCUUUGACGGGUAGCCGGCCUGAGAGGGUGACCGGCCACAUUGGGACUGAGAUACGGCCCAGACUCCUACGGGAGGCAGCAGUGGGGAAUAUUGCACAAUGGGCGGAAGCCUGAUGCAGCAACGCCGCGUGCGGAAUGACGGCCUUCGGGUUGUAAACCGCUUUCGCCUGUGACGAAGCGUGAGUGACGGUAAUGGGUAAAGAAGCACCGGCUAACUACGUG
rnacentral:rRNA from 1 species